UCUACCUUCACAGCCCCAAUGUCAAGUGGAAUUGCAUCAUCGGACUUGACUCAGCCAAGCGGUUGGUCAAGGAAGCUGUUGUGUAUCCCAUCAGGUACCCACAGUUGUUUACAGGCAUUCUUUCUCCUUGGAAGGGACUUCUGCUAUAUGGGCCUCCAGGUACUGGGAAAACUUUGCUGGCUAAAGCUGUUGCCACUGAAUGUAACACAACAUUCUUCAACAUCUCCGCAUCCACCAUUGUCAGCAAAUGGAGAGGCGAUUCGGAAAAGCUUGUC